rnacentral:rRNA from 1 species
UACGAAGGGGGCUAGCGUUGUUCGGAAUUACUGGGCGUAAAGGGCGCGUAGGCGGCCGUUUAAGUUAGGUGUGAAAGUCCUGGGCUCAACCUGGGGACUGCACUUAAUACUGGAUGGCUUGAAUUCGGGAGAGGAUAGCGGAAUUCCCAGUGUAGAGGUGAAAUUCGUAGAUAUCUGGAGGAACACCGGUGGCGAAGGCGGCAUCCUGGACCGGCAUUGACGCUGAGGCGCGAAAGCCAGGGGAGCAAACAGG